rnacentral:rRNA from 1 species
AUUGAACGCUGGCGGCAGGCCUAACACAUGCAAGUCGAACGAGUGGCGGACGGGUGAGUACUGUCUGGGAAACUGCCCGAUGGAGGGUGAUAACUACUGGAAACGUUAGCUAAUACCGCAUACCAUCGGAUGAGCCCAGAUGGGAGUAGCUAGUAGGUGGGGUAACGGCUCACCUAGGCGACGAUCCCUAGCUGGUCUGAGAGGAUGACCAGCCACACUGGAACUGAGACACGGUCCAGACGCCUACGGGAGGCAGCAGUGGGGAAUAUUGCACAAUGGGCGCAAGCCUGAUGCAGCCAUGCCGCGUGUAUGAAGAAGGCCUUCGGGUUGUAAAGUACUUUCAGCGAGGAGGCGUUACUCGCAGAAGAAGCACCGGCUAACUCCGUGCCAGCCGCCGCGGUAAUAC